GCAUUUCUGGUGGCCCGUACAGGAACUGGAGACGACAGAUUUACUGUCUCCUUUGCCUGGGGGACUUAGGGCCCUGGGGCUCGGGGAGACCCGGCAUCCAAGGCGCGCCAUGGGGGAGCUUCACCUGGAUGGAGACUGGCUCUCCCCGCGUCCCAGUGCCCUGCCCGGCAGCGCAACAGAACCGGAGACUGGGCUGCAGGACGAUACCAGCACUUCAGGAACCACGGUUAAAGAAAGAGGGACCAAUUAACUUCACCUUUUCCUAAACUUGAAAAGACAAACCAAAUUCUGCCCUUCAUCUCCAAUGUUUGAAAGAUCAGAGGUUCCUGUCAAGUAAGUCAUCCUUUCUUCAUAACUAUUGAAAAAGAAAUAAUCAGAAAUCGCUGAAUAGGUCAAUUAAAACCAUUUUUAUCAAAUAUAUUCAUUCACAACAUGUAUUGUUGUAGUUAAAAACUGGUUGAGAAAGUUUACUUGUAAUUAUUCCGCACUUUGAUAUCUGUCGAUUAUUUCUGGAGCAAAGGCAGGCUUAUUCAUUAGGUGCCUUUAGCUAAUUUUUCCUGCUAUUCUUGCUGGAUACUUUAGAAAUGAGAAGGGGUGAGCUGUAAGAUAAAUGAGUGUCACUAAGGGAAAUAUAAGCCUGCCUUUCUCAAGGGCUGAGCUCCGGGAGGCGGGAAGAGUUCAGAGCAUUGGGCCAGGGCUCAUCUGGUGGGUUCAAGCACACAGCCUCAACUCCCUUGCAGGAACAUGGGUCCGUGUGUGGUUCACUCUGAAGCAUCUGUCUUCCUGU
rnacentral:lncRNA from 1 species